rnacentral:rRNA from 1 species
CAGUCGCCGCGGUAAUACGAGGGGGGCAAGCGUUGUUCGGAAUUAUUGGGCGUAAAGGGUGCGUAGGCGGUUUGACAAGUCUUAUGUGAAAUCUCUGGGCUCAACCCAGAGUCUGCAUGGGAAACUGUCGGGCUUGAGUAUGGGAGAGGUGAGUGGAAUUUCCGGUGUAGCGGUGAAAUGCGUAGAUAUCGGAAGGAACACCUGUGGCGAAAGCGGCUCACUGGACCAUAACUGACGCUGAUGCACGAAAGCUAGGGGAGCAAACAGGAUUAGAUACCCCCGUAGUCCCUGUCUCUUAUAC